UGUAAUCUCUCCUCUUUCGUUUCUGAUUGUGUCUAUUUGUGUCUUCUCUCUUUUUUUCUUAAUGUGUCUGCUUAAAGGCUAGUCAAUUUUGUUUAUCUUUUCAAAGAACCAGCUCUUGGAUUCAUUGAUUCUUUUAAUUGUUCUUUAGUCUCUGUUUUGUACUUUUGCUCUUAUC